rnacentral:rRNA from 1 species
GUAGCUAGUAGUGCAUGAGUUAGAGGGAGCAGUGUGGGGGAGAUUUGGAGUUACACGCUAACGGAGGUGCUUAGAGGGGAGUAGCUAGUAGGUGAGGUAAACGGCCCACUAGGGCGAGGAGUCCCAGCUGGUCUGAGAGGAUGACCAGCCACACUGGAACUGAGACACGGUCCAGAGUUCCUACGGGAGGCAGCAGUGGGGAAUAUUUGCACAAUGGGCGCAAGCCUGAUGCAGCCAUUGCCGCGUGUGUGAAGAAGGCCUUUAGGGUUGUAAAGCACUUUUCAGCGAGGAGGAAGGCAUCAUACUUAAUACGUGUGGUGAUUGACGUUACUCGCAGAAGAAGCACCGGCUAACUCCGUGCCAGCAGCCGCGGUAAUACGGAGGGUGCAAGCGUUAAUCGGAAUUACUGGGCGUAAAGCGCACGCAGGCGGUUUGUUAAGUCAGAUGUGAAAUCCCCGCGCUUAACGUGGAACUGCAUUUGAAACUGGCAAGCUAGAGUCUUGUAGAGGGGGGUAGAAUUCCAGGUGUAGCGUGAAAUGCGUAGAGAUCUGGAGGAUACCGGUGGCGAAGCGCCCCUGGACAAAGACUGACGCUCAGGUGCGAAGCGUGGGGAGCAAACAGGAUAAGAUACCUGUAGUCCACGCUGUAACGAUUUCGACUGAGUUGUGCCCUUGAGGCUGCUUCGGACUACGCGUAGUCG